rnacentral:lncRNA from 1 species
UCUCCCACUCCGAAUAGUGAAGCUGAGAGUGCUGCUGUGCGUCUCGUGACUGAUCCCAAAUUAGAACACGAAAGCCGAAAUCAAGAAACGGCAAACAGGCUCAGCGCUUUUUCCCCCGAGAUGCAUGAACGGGAGGACACAUCCUUUUGCAGCAGUUGAAGCUUUUCUAUGGGGAACAAUCAGUUUUCCACAAGAAUACUCUGACACUAUUUUUUGAAAAAUCUCUCUAGAGCAUUACUAAAACAGGUCACAUACAUCAAGAAGAGAACACCUGGAAACUGCUGGCUGCAUUAUCAAACAUCGAGUGUGUGACCAGCACUGUUAAAACAGACAAAGUUCCCACCUAAAAUGACCAUCAGUGCAAUUGAAUCGGCAUCUGAAGAAUGACAAAGAGGGUCAAGUGGACAUAUUGAGGGAAGAAGGUUCCAGACAGAAGGAUGAGCAAACGCAAAGGCUUUGAAAUGGGAUGAGAAGGCCAGUGCCUCCAUUUUACUUGAUAAAAGAAAUAUUUAGAGUGAUGUCAGCAACAUGGCCUAGUGAGCGGUUUUCUUUUUCUCUCCCCCUUCAAACUGCAACUAAAUGGACAUUCCUGGAUCAGCAGAGGAUACUCACACACCACCUCAGGAUGCCUAAAAGACCUGUGCAGCUAAACAUCUGAAGAGGGAUGGACCACCCCAGGGAGGUGGUGGAGACAGGUGAGCACUCUCCAGCCCCCAGGCAGCCCAGUACACACAUGCAACUGCUCUCCUGGCUGGAGUGCUCAUAGCACUGCUACAGCCCCAAGGGUGGGAGCACGCCUCAGCAUGACUGUGAGAACAGGUGAUGGGAACCCUGACCCCUGGCAUGAUUGCUUCCCCAUCCAGUGGGAUAGUCCACAGGGCCACACAGUCCACAGGGAGCGGCUCAGGCUUGGACCCAGUGGGGAGGCCUCACCCACCAAGCACAAAGGCUGGUGUGACCUAGGAUGCAAAAAUUCUCAACAAAAUAUUGGCAACCUGAAUACAGCAAUACAUCAAAAAAAUCAUACACCAUGACCACAUGGGAUUUAUACCAGGGACACAGGGAUGGUUCAACAUCCGCAAAUCCAUCGAUGAGAUACACCACAUUAACAUAAUGAGGAAUAAAACCACAUGAUCAUUUCAAUAGAUUCAGAGAAAACAUUUGACAAGUUCCAACAUCCAUUUAUGAUAAAAACUCUCAAUAAAAUGGGUAUAGAAUUAAAGUACCUCACCAUCAUACAGGCCAUA